CCUCACUUUAGUCCUUCUAAUGAGCUGACAGGAAGCACCACUACUAAUCACACGUACAACAGUAAAAUUUUAGUCUUAUGUUUUUGAGUAGCUGUUUAAAUACUACCAUGAACAGUAACUCAGUCUGACCUAAAGAAAUCAAAAGUAGAACUUGCUGUUAUAUCAUGCUAACUCUUA